AGAGCGAACGCUGGCGGCAGGCUUAACACAUGCAAGUCGAGCGGGCGUAGCAAUACGUCAGCGGCAGACGGGUGAGUAACGCGUGGGAACGUACCUUUUGGUUCGGAACAACCCAGGGAAACUUGGGCUAAUACCGGAUAAGCCCUUACGGGGAAAGAUUUAUCGCCGAAAGAUCGGCCCGCGUCUGAUUAGCUAGUUGGUGAGGUAAUGGCUCACCAAGGCGACGAUCAGUAGCUGGUCUGAGAGGAUGAUCAGCCACAUUGGGACUGAGACACGGCCCAAACUCCUACGGGAGGCAGCAGUGGGGAAUAUGGACAAUGGGCGCAAGCCUGAUCCAGCCAUGCCGCGUGAGUGAUGAAGGCCCUAGGGUUGUAAAAGCUCUUUUGUGCGGGAAGAUAAAUGACGGUACCGCAAGAAUAAGCCCCGGCUAACUUCGUGCCAGCAGCCGC
rnacentral:rRNA from 1 species